rnacentral:rRNA from 1 species
AUUGAACGCUGGCGGCAGGCCUAACACAUGCAAGUCGGGCGAGACGCGGACGGGUGAGUAAUGUAUGGGGAUCUUCCUGAUGGCUGGGGAUAACUACUGGAAACGGUUGCUAAUACCGCAUACCAUCCGCUGGGCCCCUAUGGGAUUAGCUAGGUGGGAAGGUAACGGCUUACCUAGGCGACGAUCCCUAGCUGGUCUGAGAGGAUGAUCAGCCACACUGGGACUGAGACACGGCCCAGACUCCUACGGGAGGCAGCAGUGGGGAAUAUUGCACAAUGGGCGCAAGCCUGAUGCAGCCAUGCCGCGUGUAUGAAGAAGGCCUUCGGGUUGUAAAGUACUUUCAGUCGGGAGGCGUUACCGACAGAAGAAGCACCGGCUAACUCCGUGCCAGCAGCCGCGGUAAUUC